GAUGAACGCUGGCGGCGUGCCUAAUACAUGCAAGUCGAGCGAACAGAUAAGGAGCUUGCUCCUUUGACGUUAGCGGCGGACGGGUGAGUAACACGUGGGUAACCUACCUAUAAGACUGGAAUAACUCCGGGAAACCGUGGCUGAUGCAGGAUAACAUUUUGAACCGCAUGGUUCUACAGUGAAAGGCGGCUUUGCUGUCACUCAUAGAUGGACCCGCGCCGUAUUAGCUAGUUGGUGAGGUAACGGCUCACCAAGGCAACGAUACGUAGACGACCUGAGAGGGUGGUCGUCCACACAGGAACUGAAACACGGUCCAGGCUCCUACGGGAGGCCACAGUAGGGAAUCUUCCGAAAUAGGCGAAAGCCUGACGGAGCAACGCCGCGUAAGUGCUGAGGGUCUUCGGCUCGUAGAACUCUGUUAUUAGGGAAGAACCGAUGCGUACGUAACUGUGCGCGUCUUGACGGUACCUAAUUAGGAAGCCACGGCUAACUACGUG
rnacentral:rRNA from 1 species